ensembl:antisense Tmem150cos transmembrane protein 150C, opposite strand
GAGGCCUCGGCGCAGCUGUUCAGGUUCACCGUUGGGGCUUUGUGCUCUGUUAACUGCGAGCGUUUGUUAGUAGCCAUGUAGGCCAUGAGUGAAUGGGUUUACUGGAUUAUUUCUUUAUUUACUUGUUUAUUUAUAGACAGGGGCUCUCAAUGUAGCCCAGGCUGGCCAGGAACUUACUAUGUAGACCAGGCUGACUUCAGUUGCUUCUGUUCUCAGGGUUUAAAGGCACAUGCGUGGGUGUUUUUAGAAGAGCAGGUGAUAUUCAACAAGACGAAGAACAUGGCUGCUUUUCUCUGUUCCCAGAGGACUGGCAGGGUUGUCCUGAUGUAUGUGGGCACACAGGAGGAUGCCGUGCUAGGGUCAAUGUUAAGGGAGAUAUUCAUCACAGAGCCUACGCCAGGCAGACUCAGAGUUACCUGAUGUAUGGAGCAUGCUUCGCACCCGAUUUCCUAGAUGACAAAGCACAGAGGCACGGAUUAGGACAAUGUCACUGAUCAAGAUGUGAGCUCUCAGCUUUUCCAGCCACCAUGUCUUUGCUCUGCAAUCAUGAACUCUCUGGAACUGGAAACCCCAAACCACAUGCUUUCUUUUUUAUAAGUUGUCUCGGCCAUGGGGUUUUAUCACAGCAAUAGAACAGAAGCUAAGACAGAGCCCAUGGCCUUUUAUGUGCUAGGGAAGUGCUCUCCCAUUGGCCACACAGUCCCAGGCCAGUGACAUCAUUCUUCAUGAGUUUUCUUGAGACAAAUGUUGACUGAAUCAUCAACUAAGGGAGCUUUUUCUGUGGUAAAGCCAGGUCUUCUGGCACAGUGAUAACUAUUUUAUAAAUACAUCAUAUCUUGUCAUAACUAGAUUGCAGAUGGAGUCCACAGCACAUCGGUGUCAAAUGAGGAAAAUCUUGCAAAUAUUAACUCAUAUCAUCAGUUUUCAAGAUUCAUUAUAGUGGUAUAAGCCAAUCAUCCCAGGACAGGCUCCAUACCAGCCUUUAGAGUAAGACUCUGGGUAAACAAAAAGCUUCACAAGAAGUUCACAUGGCUGUGUGUGGUGGUACAUGCCUGUAAUCUCAGCACUCGGAAGACUGUUGCAAGUUCAAGGCCAGCCUAGUCUACACAGCAAGACCUGUCUUGAUGGGGGUUAGAGGUUAAGGGAAAGAGAGAUGGAACAGAAGACAAAAACCAGUCUUCUUCAUUACCUAUUUUUGCAUAAUUUAUUAUUAAAUAUUGUUAUUGUUAAUAAAGGAUGAUAAAAUGGAGACUUUAGUAAGGUUAAACUAGUAUGUAUGUGUAUAUGUAUAAAUAUAUAUUUACUUUUAAAAAACAUCAUUUGCUAUAUAUAAAGUUACUUAUAAGUACACUUCUAUAAAUAUGUCAUAAUA